rnacentral:lncRNA from 1 species
AGCAUCUCAAGCGUGCGAUAUGUGAGGCAAGAAGGGAAUGGCUCCACAAAAAGUUUGGCCAUAUCCUUGUCCGAAGGGAACGUAUUGACUCAAAGACUAUCAGCAAUUUUGGUGUCGCCAAAUUCUAUGGGGAGCUUCCUGAAACAUGACCUGAAUGUACUCUCUGCUCUCAAGAAUGUACACGGUAGAAAAGACAACUCGGAACCAAUCCUCAAUAUAUUGAUGAUGCUCUAAGACCAAAUCAGCCAAUCCGGGUAGUUGAUCGAAGUAUCCCUUAAUAUUCUCUCCCCACGCG